rnacentral:lncRNA from 1 species
GGCAGAGACUGAAGAGACAGGCUGUGAAGCUAUGGAGCUCAGUGUGAGAUAAUGUAGCAGCCUAGGUUGGGGUGACUUGCACUCAAAUUCUGUUCCCAAAGUUAAGCCUGUUCUUUACUAAAGAGACAAGCAUGGAGCAGGACAUCAGGAUCCGCUGCAGAGGUCUCUGAUAAUAGUUCAGUGAUAUGGUGGUGCAUGCCCGGGACCCCCACACUUGAAGGACUGAAGCAUGAGGAUUGCUGCAAGUUUAAGGCCAGCAAGGACUACAUAGUGAGACUCUGUUAAAACUACAAAACAAAACAAAAAGAGGCAAAAUGCAUAGGAAGCAUACAGGAAUCAGGAGACUAACAUGGUCAGAGAUUCCAGUGACUGUCUAGAAUCAAAGUUUUCUCAACAAGCUGAAACCAAAAAGAUGAUUAUAACCUGGAAAACAUGUCUCUGGAACCUUUUGAUAGAGUCAGUUUGGAAUGCAAAGCCUUCACAUCAUGAAAAGUAGAAAGGCUGACGAGCACUCUGAUGUUCUAAAUCUAAGCUCUCUGGUUACCUGUGUCAGAGGACCUGCCUCAUGCUCAUGCCUCAGUCUCAUCACCUCAGCCCUUACCUCUUCCUCACUCAGCUCCUGAGGACAAACUGGGAGGAAGAAAUUGAGUUGGAGAGAAGUGAAUGAUUUGUUCAAGGUUAUAGAGUCUGUGCAACUCUGUUACAGAAGGACAAAAUGGACUAAGACAGCUAUCAAGACUGCAUCCUCAGUGGCAGGUAGUUGAGACUGAGAGGAUCCAGGGUGGCAAGACUUUCACGCACACUUCAGAAUAAUGAAAAACAGUUAUUGGGAAAAUGUCAUGUCCUCACAGCUCACUCUACAUGCUGCUACUAAUCUUAUUUGUACAAGUACAGGCAUAAAUCCACUAACAACAGACAGCAGCUCUUUCCCUUUGUUACAAUUUAGUAUUGAUUUCUGUGCAGGAAGGUUGAAAUGAAUCCCAGAAUGGGUUUAAUUACGAAUAUACACAAAAAAGUAAUUGGCACAAUAAGUGAGGAGUUCGUUAGCAGGUUGCUUUUUUUUUUUUUUUUUUUUUUAACAGAAUUAUAGUAUUCUCCUCAAUCAGCAGUAGUAAUCAACAAUGAAGAAAUAAAAAAUAGAGUCCUUGGCCCUACAUAAAAUUCAUUUCUCUUUCCUCUUUUUGUCAAUUUCUACAAAAAAGUUGCAAUGCCAUGCCUGUUUCUUGGUAUACCAAUGUUAAUAAUGACAUAAUAAAUGCCAAACUGGAAACUUGAAUUAGAAUGAGGCAUGGAAGAAAGAGGGUGAACAGUAUGUAUUCCCCAUUAAAAUACAGGAGGAGGCUGCCUUCCAAAACUGAUCUGAGUCUGAUAUGAGGUAAGCUAUCACUCUAUUUGUCAGCAUUUUUACAUUUUUGAUAGUCUUUCAAAUAGCUCUAAAAACUUACCUCAAUGCUAUCUUGUCUACUGAUGGUUUUUAUAUUGUAAAUAGAUGAGUCUGAAACUUCAUUUCACAAUGUGUUUCUUUCCUCACAGGUCGAUUGUGUUUCCACUAUCUCACUUUGUUCUGGGGACGCAAAUUGGUUUCUUGGGUCAUGCUGUUAUUAAUAUGAUUUUUUAAAAAAUAAUUGAAUUUAACACCAAGGUCGGUUGAGAAAACAAGCAAAAUGAAAAUGAUAAUUCUUGGUGUGAAAACAACAAAAAGUGAAAUGGAACACAAUGGUCUUCAUUGGUUACUUCAAAAUGUCUGAGAUAUGUUGGGCUUAUUAAUGGUAUAAUAUAGCAGAAAUGGGGCUUGCUGAGGCAUUGCUGUUCAUAUGAAUGGUCCAUUAGAAAUCAUGAUAGGCCAACAAGAAAAACUUCAUGGAUUUAUUUAGUUUUUUGCCCCUAAGUGUAGUGUUUCUUUCUCAUUACAGAAGUAUUUUCUGUAAUAAAUCAAUGUUAUAUUUUUGUUAUAAAAUUAAUAAUAAAUUCCUAUGAUUAUGAGGUUUGUCUCUGCCAGUAUGGG